CCUACGGGAGGCAGCAGUAGGGAAUUUUCCGCAAUGGGCGAAAGCCUGGCGGAGCAAUACCGCGUGAGGGAAGACUGCCUAUGGGUUGUAAACCUCUUUUUUCAGGGAGGAAUUUUGACGUGUACCUGAAGAAUAAGCAUCGGCUAACUCCGUGCCAGCAGCCGCGGUAAGACGGAGGAUGCAAGUGUUAUCCGGAAUCACUGGGCGUAAAGCGUCUGUAGGUGGUUAAACAAGUCAACUGUUAAAUCUUGAAGCUCAACUUCAAAAUCGCAGUCGAAACUGUUUGACUAGAGUAUAGUAGGGGUAAAGGGAAUUUCCAGUGGAGCGGUGAAAUGCGUAGAUAUUGGAAAGAACACCGAUGGCGAAGGCACUUUACUGGGCUAUUACUGACACUCAGAGACGAAAGCUAGGGUAGCAAAUGGGAUUAGAUACCCCAGUAGUCCUAGCCGUAAACAAUGGAUACUAGAUGUUGAACAGAUCGACCUGUGCAGUAUCAAAGCUAACGCGUUAAGUAUCCCGCCUGGGAAGUAUGCUCGCAAGAGUGAAACUCAAAGGAAUUGACGG
rnacentral:rRNA from 1 species